rnacentral:rRNA from 1 species
UACAGAGGUCCCAAGCGUUGUUCGGAUUCACUGGGCGUAAAGGGUGCGCAGGCGGUCGGGUAAGUCUGAUGUGAAAUCUCACAGCUUAACUGUGAAACUGCAUUGGAUACUAUCCGGCUAGAGGAAUGGAGGGGAGACUGGAAUACUUGGUGUAGCAGUGAAAUGCGUAGAUAUCAAGUGGAACACCAGUGGCGAAGGCGAGUCUCUGGACAUUUCCUGACGCUGAGGCACGAAAGCCAGGGGAGCAAACGGG